UACGGAGGGAGCUAGCGUUGUUCGGAAUUACUGGGCGUAAAGCGCACGUAGGCGGCUUUGUAAGUUAGAGGUGAAAGCCCGGGGCUCAACUCCGGAACUGCCUUUAAGACUGCAUCGCUUGAAUCCGGGAGAGGUGAGUGGAAUUCCGAGUGUAGAGGUGAAAUUCGUAGAUAUUCGGAAGAACACCAGUGGCGAAGGCGGCUCACUGGGCCGAUACUGACGCUGAGGAGCGAAAGCGUGGGGAGCGAACAGG
rnacentral:rRNA from 1 species